UACGUAGGGUGCGAGCGUUGUCCGGAAUUAUUGGGCGUAAAGAGCUCGUAGGCGGCUUGUCGCAUCGGAUGUGAAAGCCCGGGGCUUAACUCCGGGUCUGCAUUCGAUACGGGCAGGCUAGAGUUCGGUAGGGGAGAUCGGAAUUCCUGGUGUAGCGGUGAAAUGCGCAGAUAUCAGGAGGAACACCGGUGGCGAAGGCGGAUCUCUGGGCCGAUACUGACGCUGAGGAGCGAAAGCGUGGGGAGCAAACAGG
rnacentral:rRNA from 1 species